rnacentral:rRNA from 1 species
AUUGAACGCUGGCGGCAUGCCUUACACAUGCAAGUCGAACGGCAACAGGUUAAGCUGACGAGUGGCGAACGGGUGAGUAAUAUAUCGGAACGUGCCCAGUCGUGGGGGAUAACUGCUCGAAAGAGCAGCUAAUACCGCGUACGACCUGAGGGUGAAAGCGGGGGAUCGCAAGACCUCGCGCGAUUGGAGCGGCCGAUAUC